GGAGAAUGACGACAUGAAACUUUGAAAAUUAAAUUAAUAUAAUAAAAGACAAUUUCACAUACAUAAUUUUUCAUUCAAUUUAACACUAUUUUUUCUUUUUUUUUUACUUUUUUUAAAAAGAAGAAUUAUUAUUUGACACACUUCAAUUUUUUAUAUUCAUUUGAUAUUAUUCUUGAAAAAUAUUUUUUGACAUAUUUAAAUUUUUUAUAUUCAUUUGACACUAUUUUUAUUUACUUUUUACUCCCUUUUUUCUUGAAAAACUACAAAAAU
rnacentral:lncRNA from 1 species